rnacentral:rRNA from 1 species
GAUGAACGCUGGCGGCGUGCCUAAUACAUGCAAGUCGAGCGAACGGACGAGAAGCUUGCUUCUCGGAUGUUAGCGGCGGACGGGUGUGUAACACGUGGAUAACCUACCUAUAAGACUGGGAUAACUUCGGGAAACCGUAGCUAAUACCGGAUAAUAUUUUGAACCGCAUGGUUCAAAAGUGAAAGACGGUCGUGCGGGCACGUAUAGAUGCAUCCGCGCUUCAUUAGCUAGUUGGUAAGGUAACGGCUUACCAAGGCAACGAUGCAUAGCCGACCUGAGAGGCUGAUAGGCCACCCUGGAACUGAGACGCGGUCCGGACUACUGAGGGAGGCAGCAGUAGGGAAUCUUCCGCAAUGGGCGAGAGCCUGACGGAGCAACGCGGCGUGAGUGAUGACGGUGUUCGGAUCGUGAAACUCUGUUAUUAGGGAAGAACAUAUGUGUAAGUAACUGUGCACAUCUUGACGGUACCUAAUAAGAAAGCCACGGCUAACUACGUG